UUAUACAACAAUAGCGGAGGAAAGAAACUAACAAGGAUUCCCCUAGUAACUGCGAGUGAAGCGGGAAAAGCUCAAAUUUAAAAUCUGGUGGCCUUUGGUCAUCCGAGUUGUAAUUUAGAGAAGCGUCUUCCGCGCUGGACCGUGCACAAGUCUCCUGGAAUGGAGCGUCGUAGAGGGUGAGAAUCCCGUCUUUGGCACGGACSCCCAGUGCUUCUGUGAUGCGCUCUCGAAGAGUCGAGUUGUUUGGGAAUGCAGCUCAAAAUGGGUGGUGAACUCCAUCUAAAGCUAAAUAUUGGCGAGAGACCGAUAGCGAACAAGUACCGUGAGGGAAAGAUGAAAAGCACUUUGGAAAGAGAGUGAAACAGUACGUGAAAUUGUUGAAAGGGAAACGCUUGAAGUCAGUCGCGUCGUCCGAGACUCAGCCUCGCCUCGGCUUGGUGUACUUCUCGGCCGACGGGUCAGCAUCAAUUUUGCCCCUUGGAUAAUGGCGAGGGAAAUGUGACACCUUUGCGGGUGUGUUAUAGUCUCUAGUCGCAUGCAAGGGUCGGGAUUGAGGAACUCAGCACGCGCCUUCGGGCGUCGGGGUUYGCCCACGAUACGUGCUUAGGAUGUUGGCGUAAUGGCUUUAAACGACCCGUCUUGAAACACGGACCAAGGAGUCUAACAUGCCCGCGAGUGUUCGGGUGGAAAACCCGUGCGCGCAAUGAAAGUGAAAGUUGGGACCUCUGUCGUGGAGGGCACCAACGCCCGGACCAGACCUUCUGUGACGGAUCUGCGGUAGAGCGUGUAUGUUAGGACCCGAAAGAUGGUGAACUAUGCCUGAAUAGGGUGAAGCCUAGAGGAAACUWCUGGUGGAGGCUWCGUAGCGAUUACUGACGUGCAAAUCGAUCGUCAAAUUUGGGUAUAGGGGCGAAAGACUAAUCGAACCAUCUAGUAGCUGGUUCCUGCGAGUUCCCCU
rnacentral:rRNA from 1 species